UGCCAGGGGAAAUGUCAAGUCAAGCGCAAGGGGAUGGGCUUGUCCUGUCUACGUACAUGCAACGGUCUCAUUUUAUGUAUAUCUCUGCUUUUCUCGGAAAAUUGUUCAUUCCAGAAAUCAUGUAGUUUCUGAUGAUGCAAUCCUGUUAAGAAGGUAAUAGUUAUCAUUACCAGCUGAUGGAAUGUGAUAUAGUGUGUUUGCAGUCAAUGAGUACGAGACUUACGAAGGAAAACCGAAAUCCGGUUAUCGGAAGCGACAAACUAGCAAACUAGCUUAGUUCACAUUUUAUGCCUCAAUUUUCUUGGUCAAGAUUUCUCAAGAAUGACAAUCCCUAUAUGCUAAAUUGAAACCAGGCUUAAUUCAUUCUGCUUAAAACUAUUAACGAUAAACGUAUCUAGCGGACGCUAGGCCUAGAGGGUGUAUAAAAUAAAGUAGCCCUACUUGCGUUGUUCAUCGAACAGGAAGUAGGCCUAUGGCUAUGGUUUAGGCAUUUUACGUCAGGCCAGAUAGUCAUAUCCCAGUAUAUACGUCAAGUAAAUUAACAUUUCAAAAUCAGUCAGUCACACUGGGCGGAAAAUAUGAAUCGUGCUUGCAUGCACGCAUUUACGUACUACGAAGAUCAUUUAGUUGCCAAAUCGCUAUUUAUCAGAGCUAUUAAUCGCUUGGGUAAGCUCAUUUGAAUCAGAUUGCCAAUAUCUCAACCGACACAGUAUGAUAAUCGCCAUUUCAAACGGUUGCUUGAUUGUUGUUGGUACUGAAGAGAUCCGUAUAUCAAAAAAACUGGUGAAAAGCGGAAAACUCGGAUUUGAUCCACUGACAAAGAAAACAAAAUGACUAAGCUCAUGACUAUCUUCUUCGUCUUCGUUAUUUCCAUCAUGGUCGAUGCUUGGCGGGUUCCAUUCAAAUUUCCAUCUCCAAGAUUUAGCUUUCCGCGCCGACCAACGCGUCCACCAACAAAAGCGACAACCAAACCACCAGCAUUCAACCCUGUGAAGGAUUCUCGAUACUGUGAUGAGUCUCAGAUAAAAAUAUCCUCUCAGGAAGAAAGAGACGUGCAGUUUCCACGUGGCCCUACCAUUGUGCAUAUCCUAGUAUCAUAAAGUACAAGGGAGUUUAUCAGUUCAUGGUCGAUAUCUACUCCUGUUGUCAAAAAUGUGAUUUUCCAGGCUACACCUCGUGUAUUAGCAGGCAUGGUUCCCCUGAUUGGCGUUGUCCGAGCGAUGGUGCCCAAUGCCUUUUUCGCUGUAUCAAGACCUAUGGCCCAGAAACCACGAUUAUAUCUCCCGGUGGCGGAGGCUUUAAAGGAUUCGGUUCGGGAACUCAAGGUGGCGGAAAGAUGAAUAAGGUUCCUAAGAAGUUAAAAUGUGAAAAAGUGGAGAAACUUUCUAAUGGCAAGACUUGCAUAAGACGCUUGUGCGUCCCAUUGAGAUUGUGAACGCUCUAGUGAACAUGCAAAAAUUUAUUGUUUUCCACCAGCAAGUGUAGGUUUGCUUACAGUUUCGAAACUUACUAUAUUUUAUGUAUAAAUGAACACUUGCAUGAAGGCUUGGUGUCAUUGCAUUGUCGUGAUUCUAAAACUUAUACAUGUAACCCACUUGAACGUACUUCUAUAAUUUUUCACAAACAGGGCUGCUCUGCUACGUAAAAUGUGCUGAAUUUUCUUUUAAAGUAGUGUAGGUUAUAUUAGUUUGAAUAAAAUUGGUGCAUAGAACCAAAAACUUUACAUUAUCGUAAUGAUUAUCACGAAAAACCAUUAAAGAGCAGUUCAGAACA
rnacentral:lncRNA from 1 species